GGAUGGCACACUCCUGGCUACAUACACAGACCUAGCACUAGGUGGCCCAACUGGUCUACAUGUGACCCCUGCAGGCCAGGUGCUGGUCUGUGGAGUCUGGCCCAACACUGUACUACAGGUGGGCUGGGAGGGAGAGAGUAAGCUGGCUAAUCUUGCUACUUGGGGAGAUGGAGUGAGGUGGCCACAGUCAGUCUGCUACAGCAGCACCACAUCAUCCAUCAUUGUGGGACUGUAUGGGGACAACAUCCUGGUGUUCAGAGUGGAAUAGUGUGUACAUUUGCUGCUGGCAGUCGGGACAACGAUGCUGAGGAUGUGGGAGACAAACAUGACGCAGAAGGUGAGCACCAGCAUUGAUAUCCAGUUGGCCAAGCAACAGCACCAGUCCGGCCUGCAGGAGCCCCAAUACUAAAUGAUCCUUUGCCUUCCCUGAUCCCUAGCUCCUCCCACUGGACCUCCGGCCACAAAGGGUCAGCAUCAUAACACAAGUCUGUUCUGCAAUAAAUCCUCAGCACGUCAAGUUUUCACGCGCUGUUAUGAACAGCUGAAAUGUAUGUGUUGAGAUUUCCCCAAGCAAGCCCGAGUAGUUUUGUUUAGCUCUAGUGCCCGAGUGGGAUGAGUGUUACAGAAGCGAGACGUUAUAGCAGCACCUAUGGUAACGCUAACAGUUAACGCUAACAGUUAGUUCUCACUGUGGACAUCACGAAGAAUCUCACAAAGGAUUAAACGUUGAAUAGUUUGUUUAAUUCUGUAUAAGACAGCUAUAUAUUCAGCGAGGAACGGGAGCAAAUCAAGGAACAAUCGAAACUAUUCAUUCAGAAGUAUAUCUGCUGUAGAUAGUUAGGACAGUAGAAGGGUUACGGACUAUCCUCAGCGCACAAUAUAUUCAUGUGGUGUGCCUCAGACGCCAAUUCCCACAUGAUUGAAAACAAGUUGCUAAAAGUAAACACGUACGGUUUUGCACUCCGAGCCCAAAGGGCAUCGCAUUGAAUUGAGACUAAAGAAGGCUUAAAAACGUGACAACAGUUUUGUUGUAUGGUCCAGUACACCCUUCGACUCAUCCCGAAGUUAAUCAGAACUCAAACUCGGCCCUUAACAAUAUCCGCGAGGCCAGCAUAUCAGCUCAGCUUCUGAGCUUCAGGAGAGCACCAGCAUUGGUAUUGAGCUGGCCCAGCAACAGUACCAGUCCAGCAUGCAGGAGAUCCAGGCAAGGACGACCCUUCCCCUCCCCUGGCCACUAACUCCUCACUUUUGACCUGCAGCCUCAAAGGAUCUGCAUCGUUUAACAAUUCUGUUCUGCAGGAAAUUCUCAGCACGUCAAGUUUUCACGGGCUGUUCUCAACAACCGCAAUGUCCUGGUCAAGUUUUCCACACUCAAGCCUGAGUAGUUUUGUUAAAUAUAAGCAGUAGAAAUGGUAAAACUAACAGCCAGUGUGCUCGCUCUGGGACAUCACAAAGAAUAUCACAGAAUACAAAGUUGAAUAACUUGUUCCAUUCAUUAUGGGACCAACAGAAAUUUAGCAAGAAACAGGGCAAACAAUCAAGGAACAAUUGAAGCGAUUAAUUUAGAAGUGUAGGCUUUCCAAAGUAGAUACUUCUGCUGUUGAUAGUUAUGACAGUAAUAGCGUUACGGACGCCUCGGUUUGUCCUCUCAGGCGUGUAAACUGUCCAUAAAGAACACACUUCUGACGCUUUUGCUGACAAAGAAAGGCAGAAAUGACUUGGCUGUGAACACCCAGAGCACAAUACAUCCUUGGGGCAUGCCUCAGACGCAAAUUCCGCCAAAGAUUAUAAACAAGGCGCAAAAUGUGAACAUGUCUAGCUUUGUUACGAGCACUUCCCACUCUGAGCCCAUAGGCCUCGUAUUGAAUCGAGGCUAGAGAAGGCAUUGACAAAUGACAGCAGUUGUGUUGUGUGGUCCAGUAGGCCCUUCGACUCUCAACCCGACGUUAAUCAGAACUCAAACUCAGCCCUUAGCAAUAUCAGCUCAGCUCCUUCAGCCUCAGGAUUUGAUGCAAUCCUUGAUUGGUACCCAGCUUAACAACAGGCUCUUUGGUCAGCUGGUCCCAGACGCCCAGAGACACUUCCUGUGCAUCGGGGGUAGUUGGCUCUUGGCGCAGGACCUCGGGGCAAAUGCUCAAUGAAUCCUUCCUGCAGGGUGCAGCCAGUCUAAACCUGGGGUUUCAAACUUCCCUGCCUAAGGGCCGAGAUUAUAUCAUCCACAAGGCACACAUUUCUGGGAGGCGCUAAGACCAUUUUAUCUGUUCACAGAGUCUUAUACUCACAAGUUCAGGCCCAGAGAGAAAUAUCCCCAACUACAACUUUGCCCCUACAUCACAAUAGGAGAGCACCAGCUUUGAUAUUGUGUUGGCCCAACAACAGCACCAGUCCGGCAUGCAUGAGCCCCAGUCCAGGACAACCCUUCCCCUACCCUGAUCCAUAUCUCCUCCCCCAAGACCUCCAGCCUCAAAUUCUGAACACAUCCAGUUUUCUUGCACUGUUCUCAUCAACCGCAAUGUCCACGUCAAGUUAUCCACUGUCGAGCCCGAGUAGUUUUGUUUAGCUUGAGUGUCCGAGUGGGAAGAGUGUUACAGGACACAAGGAGUUAUAUCAGUAGUUAUGGUAAUGCUCAAUCAACAGUCAGUUCUUGCUGUUGGACAUCACUGUGAAUAUCACGACGAAUGAGAAGUUGAAUAACUUGUUCCAUUCGUUAUGGGACAAACACAAAUUCAGCGAGGAACGGGACAAAAAAAUCAAGGAACAAUUGAAGCGAUUAAUGCAGAAGUGUAGGCUUUCCAAAGUAGAUACUUCUGCUGUUGAUAGUUAGGACAGUAGUAGUGUUACGGACCGUCUUGGUUUUGUCCUCUCAGGCGUCUAAACUGUCCAAAGGGAACAUAAAGCUUUUGACGCUGUUGCUGAUGAAGAAAGGCAGUAGUGACUUGGCUGUGAACACCAAGAGCACAAUACAUCAAUGGGGCAUACCUCAGACGCAAAUUGCGCCCAAGAUUGUAAACAAGGUGCAAAAUGUUAACAUGUCUAGCUUUGUUACGAGCACUUGGCACUUGUAUUGAAUCGAGAAUAGAGAUGGCUUUGAAAAAUGACAGCAGUUUUGUAAUGUCGUACAGUACGCACUUCGACUUUCAACAGAGUUAGUCAGAACUCAAACUGGGGCCUUAGUAAUAUCAGCAAGUUGUAGAGACGCUCAAAGUGAAACAAUUGUUCCAACAGAUAGAACAGGCCUUGAUUGACUCGUCCGUAAAUGUGACUGGCCUUAAUAUGUUGCUCUCGAAUAAUGUGAACCUCACCAGGAGAGCUGUCUGCAAUUGACAACAUUCAACAACAGUUGUUGUCAGGAAUUCCGGGGUUUUGGUUGGUGACAUCGGUGUCGAGACUCGCUUCAUCUCUGCAUAUGGCACGCUCGCAGCAACAGCAGCAGCAACAAGAACAGCAGUGGCUGCUGAGUCCGAGGAUGUGGUGGACAAGAAUGACCUGAAUAUGCAGAAGCAACUGCUCAUCACAGAAGACGACUGUCUGGUGAAAGGCUCAGCCAUAUCAAAGUUCAGUGAUGUUGGGGGACGUUGCUGUUCCAUGUCUGGGGAUCGCAUCAUGAAGGACAUUUUAGCUGACACUACAAGGGAGAGAACUCUAGGUCUGCACCAAAAGAGAGAACCAGCAUUGAUAUCGAGUUUGACCAGGAACAGCACCAGUCUGCCUGAAGAAUCCCCAGUCCAGGACGAUCCUUGCCCCCCCCCCCCCUGACCCCUAGCUCCUCCACCCUGACCUCUGGCCUCAAAGGGUCAUCAUAGUUGAAUUCAAGCGCUGUACUCAACAACCGCAAUGUCUGUGUCGAGUUUUCAACACUCAAGACUGAGUAGUUUUGUUGAGCUCGAGUGCCAGAGUGGGACAGACACAAUGAGUUAUAGAAGUAGUUAUGGUAACACUAACAGUCAGUUCUUGCCGUAUGACAUCACAACGAAUAUCACGAAGAAUAAAAAGUUGAUUAAUUUGUUCCAUUCUUUAUGGGACAAACAUAAAUUCA